ensembl:lncRNA
CUGCUGUCAGUUUGAGCUCACUCACUAUUACACUUUAAGAGCUGAAAAGUUUCAUACCAUUUUAUUUCAAAGCACUUCAUUUAAAAUCUUGAAAUCGUAUGUUAUUAACUGUAAAAUAUUUAAGAUAAAUAAGCAUUUUUUUUAAUUGUUUGUUUAUUUGUUUGUUUGUUUUUUUAGCCACAACAGUAGUAAAAUCCUAAAAAUGUUGUGGUGAAUUUCUAUCAUGAAUUCAGGACAGUUUGAUAAUACGUUCAUGAGGAAACAUACGCAGCUCCACCGGAUGUAAAAUCCUUUAAUUUCCAGCCACAAGAUUAAAGCGGUUAGAUGUCAAAAUCCUCUUACCAACCCAAAAUACACUGAAGGUUGAUCAAUUAUUUCAUUAACUAAGUAGAGGUCCAAGACAUGACGAAAGACAAAUUGAAUCAAUUACCAGAGGCUAAUCAGAACAAAGGGAACUUUAAUUACAGGAAGUUUAAUUAAAACGCUUGCCAAGUGUGAUAUUAAGGGAGCGCUUAAUAUAUUCUGGUGGAAAAGCCACACAUCCACAGGAAAUGAAAAACAGGAACAUUUUGUUUUACCUCAAACAGGUUGUACAGACUGUUUAUGAAUUGUAUUGCCUCCAUGGAGAACACAUUAACAGGUAACAGAAAAUCACAAAACCUGCACAAUUAUUAAAAACAUCACUAUAAAUAAGCAAAGUCAACUUAAUGUUUGCACAUGAAAUCAUAAUAUUAUCCUAUUUUUAUAUUCCAGUUCAGGAAGUCAAAGGAAACGGUCUGUUUGUGGUGCAGUGAGAUUGUGGAGAGUGUUAAUCUGUAAGGCUUUGGAUCAGAUUAAACAUCUGCAGCGGGAGGAUCAGCAGAUCAAGUCACUCUUUCAGUCUGUACAAGGAGAUUACGGGCGGCAAUUUGUGUUUAUGGGAUUCCCGAAAUUCACUUAACAACUGCCCUCCUAUUAAAAGGUCAAGCAGGGAGGAGGUAGAGCUAUCCCAACGUCAUCCCUCAUUUCUGUUCCUGAUAAAAAACAAACUAAUGAAAUCCAGCUUUCACAAAGAACUGCCUGAUCUUAUCAGAAGAAUAUCUGGCAUUGAAGAACAUCUUUAUUAGUGCUGUUUGUUAAGAGAUCAAACCUCUUAAAAUCUUGCUGUAGUGUUUGUGCAUCCAGACAUGAAUGAAUGCUCAAAUCAGGUGUGUUAUUACUGUUAUUACUGUUAUUAAUUUUUAACCGCUGGAUCAUAAAACAGGUGAAUAAAAGAUAAUUGGAGUAUGUUUUAUAAGAAAAAAAACUAUUUAGGUUUUUCUACUUAAAAAUGUCACGUUUGAAUUCAGUGUGUCACAUGCUUUUUCUUUGCAAUUGUUUGUGAAUUUGCUAGCAAUUUCUGAGUGAAAAUUCCUGGCUUUUUUUUUUCUCAGUUAAAUGCUACUUCAUUCUUAUUAUUGACGUUUGCACAGGAACAUUCAUCAAAUAUCCAAAUCUAGUUUGCUUUCUGUAAUUUGACAGGCAUUUCACAGUAAAUUUUUAAAACAUUGUAAAUAGGAUGUACACGCUAAAAUAUUUUUUUUGAAGUUGCUACAACUUUGCAACUUCCUUUGUAAUAAUUUGUAACAUUUUCUAGCAAUUACUCCAUUUUUUCAGCUUUAGCAUAUUUAUCCAUGGGCUGUACUGACUACUUGAUAUUUGUACUACAUCUCUUUUUAGCAGUUUCCUCUCAGGUUUCAGCCUGAGUGUCUCUGGGUUUUGCUGGUUUGAGAUUACAUUCAUUCGUUCAUUAUUAAUAGCAUCGCACCAUUAUCUCCCUGUGAGCUCCUCUUACAUCGUGCCCAAACCGCCUUGGUGAACACAUCGCAUGGAAAGGCCCAAGCGUUUGUGUGAGAGCCUGGGAAGAUGGAUAGGUGUGGGAUCAAAUAUUUAUCAUUGUAUAGCAGUAGGCUGUAAGAUGUAAAAGGUCAAAGAGCAACACACACACACACACACACACACACACACACACACACACACACACACACACACACACACACACACACACACAUAAGAAAUCUUUCCAUCGCUCAUCUGUUUGCUGUCAGCAUUCCACUAUACUGUGGAAUGGAAUGUGCAUGAAGUACCAGUAUAAUGGCAAUUCAAAUGCACUUAAAUAUUGAUUUAUAUCAA